AAACCCUGUCUCUUACUAAAAAUACAAAAAGUAGCUGGGCUUGGUGGGCAUCUGUAAUCCCAGCUACUCGGGAAGCUGAGGUUGGAGGAUCACUUGAACCUGGGAAGUGGAGGUUGCAAUGGGCCGAGAUCGUGCAACUACACUCCAGCCUGGGUGACAGAGUAAGACUUAAAAAUAAAACAAAACAAAAUAAAAUAAAAUAAAACAAAACUACAAAUACAAAAAUUAGCCAGGUAUGGUGGCGGGUGGCACGCACCUGUAUCUCAGCUACUUGGUAGGCUGAGGCACAAGAAUCACUUGAACCCAGGAGACAGAGGUUGCAGUGAGCCAAGAUCAGGAGACUGCACUCACAGCCUGAAGGACAGAGUGAGACUCUGUUUGAGGAAGAGAAAAAAAAAAGCGUUUCUGAUGUGAUAGAGAUAAUAAAACCUGAGUAACAUGAUAGAGAUUGAUGGGCAGAGGGAAUUUCAGAUGGGGGUGGGAGGGCAUGGGAGACAGCUCUGAGCCUAGACCUGAAGGAGCAGAAAGGGAGAUGGCUGUGAUCAUUUAGGGACAUAGGGUAAGAACGGGGAAAAUGACCUGAGACAGGAAGGGUUUUGAUGUUUGGGGAAAGAGAUAAGCAAAUGUGACUGGGGCGGAGGGAGUCAUUAGAUUAGGGCAAGCUCCCAGGAGGAGGCUGGACACUGGCAGGGGCCCUGGACACAGGGCUGUGGAGCCACACUGAUGAGUUGGGCUUUUGUCCUGGGGAACACGGGAAGCUGGUGGAGGGUUCCCUGCCAGGGACUGAUGUGACCUGCUUUACAUUUAGCUGUGAUAUCCUCAGAGUGGGGACAUAUUCACCGAGUUACCCUGAGAAGGUCUGAGAUGAGUGAGAAGGUGUGUCUGAAUUCUUACAUGGGGGCCCAGAAGGGCUAAUGGAAAGGGUUGGUCUUAUCACCUCUCUUUGAAAAUUAGAGAAGCAUCUUUCACAUACCUGGGCUAAAGAAACUUCUUUUGCAACGUUCUGAUGCUAUUGACUUUCAACAUUUAAUUCUUCUUACAAGAAAAUUAUAGUAACAUAUAUAAAAUGCAGAAGUGAAAACACACAGCUACUGACCUUGAAAACAGGGAGGCCAGGCAGGGUGGCUGAGGCCUGUAAUCACAGCACUUUGGGAGGCCAAGGCAGGCAGAUCACCUGAGGUCAGGAGUUCGAGACCAGCCUGAGCAAUAUGGAGAAACCCCCGUCUCUACUAAAAAUACAAAAAUUAUCUAGGCAUGGUGGCUCAUGGUUGUAAUCCCAGCUACUCAGGAAGGUUGAGGCAGGAGAAUCACUUGAACCCGGAGGCGGAGGUUGCGGUGAGCUGAGAUUGCACCAUUGCACUCCAGCCUGGGCAACAAGAGUGAAACUGUGUCUCAAAAAAACAAACAAACGAACAAACAAAAAAAGAAAAUAGGGAAAGAGGGUCAGCUGUAGAACUACUAUAUAAGCAAAUGUUUUCAAUCAAGAAAACAUGGGUGGCCAGAUACAGUGGCUCAUGCCUGUAAUCCCAGCACUUUGGGAGGUCAAGGCAGGUGGAUCACCUGAGGUCAGGAGUUCGAGACCAACCUGGCAAACACAGUGAAACCCUGUCUCUACUAAAAAUACAAAAAUUAGCCAGGCUCCAUCUCCACAACUCAUUUAAUCUCUUGCUGCUCCUUCUCCCCAAUCUUUAGAUCAUCCUCAAUCUCUAUAGAUUUCCACCUCUUCUCCCAUCUCUGUGCAUCCUCUGCUCUCCCUGUUAAAUUGUCUCUUCCUUGUUAUACCUCCCUGGCCCCACUCUCUGGCACCCCAGAUCCCCAGGUGUCCUCCCUGCUGUGCUUCUCCCUCUGUUCUCCUUGCCACCAGCACCACUCUGCUCUGUCUGCCCUGGCUCCAAAUCCCUCCUCCUCUCCCUCACUCUGAUGAGACUCCCUCUUUGCUGUCCCUCUCCCUACCUUGCUGUCCUUCAUCUCUCUGUACAUCUAGCUUUUCUCUACAUUUCUCCAGUUGCUUUUCUCCUCCUGCUUUCUUAUUUUUUUUUUCACUUUUGCUGUCUCUUGGCAAAUCCCUCACCCAUCUUCUACUUUGCCAUCUGUUAUGGGCCUUUCUCAUUCUUCUUUUCUCUGUCUCAGGUUUUUUACUGCUCUCUCUCUGUCUCCUGAUCCCUUUGGCCCACACAAUCACAGGAGGGUUUGGACACCUUCAUGUCAGAGGAGCCCAUUUUCCAGGGGCUGGCACUGGGCAGGGAAGAACACCUUGUGUCACCAUAUAGGCCCCAGGCACCUCCCCAAUGCGGGCCUGGGCAACAGAGCAAGACUUUCUCAAAAUAAUAAUAAUAACAAUAAUAAUUAUGUAUAUAUAUUGCAAAUGCUGUGUUUUCUACGUAAACCAUGGGCUUGGCCACACGCAUUACCUCAUGCCUGUAAUCCCAGCACUUUGGGAGGGUGAGGCGGUGGAUCAUGAGAUCAAGAGGUUGAGACAAUUUUGGCCAGCGUGGUGAAACCCGCUCUCUACUACAAGUACAAAAUUAGCUGGGCUUCUCGGCACGCCCCUGUUGUCCCAGCUACUUGGGAGACUGAGGCAAAAGAAUCACUUGAACUCGGGAGUCAGAAGUUGCAGUGAGCUGAGAUGGCACCAGUGCACUCCAGCCUGUCGACAAAGUGAGACUCUGUCUCAAAAAAAAAUCAUGGGCUUAUCCAUUAAUGCACUUCUGCACAUACUUCAAAUUACAUCCACACACACUUAAAUUAACUUGCGUUCAGAAGGUAUAAGCAAAAACCUGGAGAGGACACAACCAAAGCUACUCACCAGGCUGAGGUGGGAGAAUUGCUUGAGCCCGGAGAGCAGAGGUUGAAGUGAAUCAAGAUCGCACAACUGCCCUCCAGCCUGGGGGACACAGCGAAACUCCAUCACCUCCACCCCCCAAAAAGUUGGAAGCUCACUGAAUUAAGAUACAACUUCAAGAAAUCAUAAAAGCAAUGCAUGAAGAACAUGAGAAGGACAACCAACAUACAGAAAUUAUGACGAACUACACAGAAACUCUCGGGAUAAAAAUACAGUAACUAAAUGGAAAAACUCAAUACAUGGGUUCAAAAUCAGAAUUCAUUAUGUAAAUUAAAAACUAGUGAAGAGGGGUCAGGCAAGGUGGCUCACACCUGUAAUCCCAGGACUCUGGGAGGCCGAGGUGGGUGGAUCACUUGAGGUCGAGUUCAGAGAACAGUCUGGCCAAUAUGGUGAAACCUUGUCUCUACUAAAAAUACAAAGAUUAGCUGGGUGUGGUGGCUGGCUCCUGUAGUCCCAGGUACUCUGGAGGCUGAGUCAAGAGAAGCACUUGAACAUGGAAGGCAGAGGUUGCAGUGAGCCGGAUUGCCCCACUGUACUCCAGCCUGGGUGACAGAGCAAGACUGUCUCAAAAAAAAAAAAAAAACCAAAAAACAAAGAAAGAAAAUUCCAGGACUAUCUUUUAUACACCUGAGCAAAAGGAAUGUCUCUCUCCAUGUCUAAGGUUCUGAUGGCAUGAAUCCUAAACAUGUAAUUAUUUUCCCAGAAAUAUGACAGUAAUACGUUCAAAAUAAACACAAGUGUGAACACAUAGCUAUAGGUGUUUAAAACACUGAAAGAGGCCAGGCGCGGUGGCUCACGCCUGUAAUCCUAGCACUUUGGGAGGCCGAGGCAGGUGGAUCACGAGCUCAGGAGAUUGAGACCAUCCUGGUCCACAUGGUAAAACCCGGUUUCUACUAAAAAUACAAAAAUUAGCCUGGCAUGGUGGUGUGUGCCUGUAAUCCCAGCUACUCGGGAGGCUGAGACAGGAAAAUCAUUGGAACCCGGGAGGCAGAGGUUGCAGUGAGCCAAGAUCACACCACUGCACUCCAGCCUGGGUGACAGAGUGAGACUCCUUCUCAAACAAAACAAAACAAAACAAAAACCAAAACAACAACAACAACAAAAAACACUGAAAGAGAGGCAAUGGUAGUCAUAAGCUGUAAGCAAAUGUUUUCUUCAUGAACACAUGGGCUCUGCUGGAACAAGGUUCCAAAACAAUCCAGCCCAUCGUUCAACAUCUGCAAGGAAUAUUAUGAACCAGAGGAACUUGAGGGAGACAUUUACUUAGAAGCUCACAGCUCACCAUUUUAUCAGAUGACAUAAGGAAAGAAAAUAGAAUAGGCUACUUGAACCAAAUUUUGAUGUUAGCGUAAAGAAGAAAGGUCCUGGGGCCGGGCGUGGUGGCUCACACCUUAAAUCCCAGCACUUUGGGAGGCCGAGGUGGGUGGAUCACCUGAGGUUGGGAGUUUGAGACCAGCCUGACAAACAUGGAGAAACCCCAUCUCCACUAGAAAUACAAAAUUAGCUUGGCGCAGUGGCACAUGCCUGUAAUCCCGGCUACUGGGGAGGCUGAGGCAGGAGAUCACUUGAACCCAGGAGGCGGAGGUUGUGGUGAGCCAAGAUCGCGCCAUUGCACUCCAGCCUGGGCAAUAAGAGCAAAACUCCAUCUCAAAACAAACAAACAAAAUAGGUCCUUGAUAUCUUUAUAAAGUACACAUUGAAACAACCUAAAAUUGGCCAGGCACGGUGGCUCACACCUGUAAUCCCAGCACUUUCUGAGGCUGAGGUGGGCGGAUCACCUGAGGUCAGGAGUUCAAGACCAGCCUGGCCAACAUGGUGAAACCCCGUCUCCAUUAGAAAUACAAAAAUUAGCCAGGCGUGGUGGCAGGCGCCUGUAAUCCCAGCUACUUGGGGGCUGAGGCAGGAGAAGAGCUUGAACCCAAAAGACGGAGGUUGCAGUGAGCCGAGAUCGUGCCAUCACACUCCAGCCUGGGGGUAGAAGGGAGACUUUGUCUCAAAAAAAAGUAAGAAAGAAAAAAAGAAACAACCUAAAAUCAUUUAUCAGGUACUAGUAAAUGCUUCCAAUAUAUGAUACAGACUAGAAAGCAUGCAGUCUUCUAUGUAAACUGAACACAACAAAUUUCAUAGAGAAACUUUUAAAAUGGUUAAAAAUAUAUACAUCUAAAAAUGUAUAUAUCUAAUAAAAUGUAGGGUCAAAGAAGAAAAUUUUGAACUCAUAUCAUAGUUGGAAAACAAUGAUGUGAGCUCAUAAGAUUCUACCAAAGCUUAUUUGAAAAGUAGUUAUCUUACUUUUUUCAGACGGAGUCUCGCUCUGUCACCCCAGGCUGGAGUGCAGUGGCAUGAUCUCAGCUCACUGCAACCUCCCCCUCCCUGUCCAAGGGAUUCUGCUGCCUCAGCCUCCUGAGUAGCUGGGAUUACAGGCGCCCGACAUCACACCUGGCUAAUUUCUGUAUUUUAUUCGACACGAGAUUUCGCCAUGUUGACUAGGCUGGUCUCGAACUCCUGACCUCAGGUGAUCUGCCCGCCUUGGCCUCCCAAAGUGCUGGGAUUACAGGCAUGAGCCAUUGCACACGGCCUUUAUUUUUAUUUAUUUAUUUUUUAAUUAAGAAACAAGGCGGGCAUGGUGGCUCAUGCCUGUAAUUCCAGCAUUUUGGGAGGGCGAUACAGCUGGAUCGCUUGAGCCCUGGAGUUGGAGACCAGCCUGAGCAACAAGGCAAAAGCCCGUCUCUACCAAGUACACAAAAAUUAGCGCGGUGUGGUGGCGCGCGGCUGUGGUCCCAGCUACUCUGCAGGCUGAGGUGACAGGAUCGCUUGAGCAUAGGAUGUUGAUGAUGCAGUGAGCUGUGAUCCUGUCACCGCUCUCCCGCCUGGGCAACAGAGUGAGACCCCAUCUCCAAUAAAAAAGAAUAAAAAAGAAAUACCUGGGUCCUGGGUCUGGGGGCAGCGAAUCUAAGGCCAAUUAAGGCAAACUUUCUAAAACUAGACAAAAAGGAAAAACCCCAUCUCCCCAUCCGGAGUAACAAAGGAUCAAAGGCCGCUGUCCCUACCGCCCUCCUCCUUCCACCACGUCUCAGAAAGGGAAAGAGCCCAGGAGUGGCCAUGGCCAAGCACCGGCCACACCUUCAUCUGCAUAGGGCACCCAUCUGCUCCGGCCUCGGGCCAAUUCACCUCAGCAUUUCGUUGGCCAAGGGCCAAAAAUCCUUCAUCCAGAUAAGGGGUAGCCCAUAGGGACCUCAAAAUAAAUACUUUAACCCCCUAAAACUUUCUAAACGGGUCCCCGGAGACGCUGGCUCGGGCCCACUCCCCUCUGUGGAGUGCUUUCUUGAUUGCAUAUAUUCGUUUUCCAGGAGUUGGAACUAGGUAGCAACACCGCACAAGGAGGGAGGUGGGGAGCGACGGAGCCUUCGGACAGGGGUGGCGUCUGCAGGAUCUUAGGACCAGGCAGAGGACGCGGCCUCCCGGGAACCGGGGUUGAGGCGCGGCGCUCCUGAAGCCGCCGAGAGCGACGGUGGGAGGCGCCUAGGGCUGGAAUCCAGCUCGCGGGUGAGGACUUGAAACAGCGCGAGGCGGGAGGACAGGUCAGGAAGGGUUUUGAGAAGGAAAAUUCCGCGAUAGGAGGUGUCUGCACGACCCCACUGCAGAAAGACCGAGGACGGGACCUGCCUCAGGGCCACUUUAAACUCGAAGGGACUCACGGACUCUCACCCGGACGUCUCAAUUUGCUCUGGGUUGAGAAAGAGGGGCCGCAAUUUCCAGGUCUGUGGGGACUCAACGUCCCCGGUAUAGCAGCACCACAGGACUGGGAAGCACACAUAAAACAGAGCGAAACUCACGCGCUGUGGUGUGACCUUCAGUCCCUGCCAUCCGCUUCCGGGUCUAUGCCAAUCAGCGCAGGACAGAGGCCAGGCCUGGGCGGGACCCCCGAGAAGGUUUUGGAGGCGAAAGCCGCCAGUGAGGCUGGAGCAGCUCAGCAGUCAUUGAAAUAGUACCUCCCUGAGAAGUCAACGUGAGGCGGUCAUUGGACCCAGGAAAGUUCCUUGCUAUUGAAAUUAAUUUUAGCAAUUUAUGUCCAAAAUCUGGAAGUUGUCAAGGGAAGGAAUGCAAACUAGAAUGCGAAAUACAAAGCUCUGCCUCAGCGAAACCUCCAAUUUCCUGCUGACGGCCCACAGAACAGAAUAGCAAAUCCUCUCCCUUUCUAUUUUCCAUUCACUGGGGUGGGAGAAUCCACCCUGUGCUCAGCUCCAGAGACUUCCUCAGGGCCACCGCCUGGGGUGCGGAGCGGAGGCCUCAGGCCAGGGAGGAGUGAGGUCACCACCUCCUGCUUAAACACAGCAGGGAUGUGGGCGAGGUGGCGAGUCUGGGGUCCCGGCUACUCAGGAAGCAGGAGCCGCAAGACCGCUGAGCCCGGAGGUCCAGGCCAGCGUGGGCGACAAAGUAAGACCCUCUACCCCAGAGCUCCUUCCUCCGCCUCAAUAAGAAAAAAAGGGAUUUUUAAAAAAAGCAUUGACAUUGUAACAGUGUGUAGCAGGGCUAGCGGCAGACAAAACUUCUCAGACACUGAGUUGUAGAAGGAAGGGCUUUAUUCAGCUGGGAGCGUCAGCAAUCUACUGCCUUGAAAUCCGAGCUCCCUGAAUGCACAAUUUCUGUCCUUUUUAAGGGGCUCACAACACUAAGGAUUUCACAUGAAACGGUCGUGAUUGAUUUGAGCAAGCAGUGGGUAUGUGACAGGGGCUGCAUGCACCGGUGUUCAGAGUGGAAAAGAACAGAGCAGGGAGUUUCACAAUGUUCUUCUAUACAAUGUCUGGAAUCUAUGAAUAACAUCAGUUUCUAAGUUAUGAGUUGAUUUUUAACUACUGGGUUUAGGCCAGGCAGGCCCAGGCCUGGUUUCAGGCCUGGCGCCGGGCUGCCUGUCUUUGAUUUCACUUCCUUGUUUUUUUCCUAAAACAGGUACUGAGUAUAAAACAAUAUAAAACAAUAUGAGAGGGUCUCUCUCUUCCCUCAAAACUACUAAAUAAAUUCAGUGGAUUUGCACAAUACAAUAUCGGCACCAAAAAUUACUUGAAUUUCCACACAUUAACAAUAAACAAUUUUAAAAGAAAAUUUAAAAACACUUCCAUUUGCUAGAGAACUUAAAGUAAGAAAUACUUAGGAAUAAACGUACAAAGCUGAGAAGUUUGUACCUUGAAAUCUAUAAAUGUUGAUCAAAAUGAUUAAAAACAUACAUAGAGAUACAACCCAUAUUGAUAGUUUGGAAAAAUUAAUAUUGUUAAGUAAUUAUAUAACCCAAUGUGAUUUAGAUUCAACACGGUACCCAUAAAAAUGCCUAUCAGUUGACAUUCCACCACAAAAGAAGUGAAAUUGGCUGGUCCCUGCCUUAACUGAUGACAUUACCUUGUGAAAUUCCUUCUCCUGGCUCAUCCUGGCUCAAAAACUCCCCCACUGAGCACCUUGUGACCCCCACCUCUGCCAGCCAGAGAACAACCCCCUUUGAUUGUAACUUUCCACUACCUACCCAAAUCCUAUAAAACGGCCCCACCCCAUCUCCCUUCCCUGACUCUCUUUUCGGACUCAGCUUGCCUGCACCCAGGUGAUUAAAAAAAAAAAAAAUCUGUAUCUGUUUUUGUUAAAGAAACAAAAAACAGGCUGGGAAAAGUGGCUCACGCCUGUUGGCCACACUAGUCUCAAACUCCUGACCUCAAGAGAUCCACCCACCUUGGCCUCCCACAGUGCUAGCAUUACAGGUGUGAGCCACCGCACUCAGCCUAAUCCUCUUAACAUAAACACUUUAAUGUCAAUUAAUGCUUGAACUCAACGUUAAGUCAACUCAAACUCAAGUCAAUGCUGAACUGACUCUAGUGUCAAUUAAUGCUUGAUGGUUUGCUAUACUCAUUGCAUUCGGAACUAUUAUCUCAAAAAUAAAUUUUCUGAUAUUCUGCAAGGAGUGAUCUCAGACUGAAGACCUUGCCACACUGAUGACAUUUGUAAGAUUUCUGUCCAGUAUGGAUUCUUUGAUGUCUAAUGAGGUGUGAACGUGAAGUAAAGGCUUUGCUCACAAUCAUCACACUUGUGAGGUUUCUCUCCUGUAUGAAUUCUCCUGUUUUGCAUAGGAUGAAGCUUGACUGAAGACCUUGCCUCAAUCAUGACAUUUGUAAGGUUUCUCUCCAGUAUGAGUUCACCCAUGAACUACAGCGUAUGAACGAUGUCUGAAAAAUUUGCCACAUUUACUACACUUGUAAGAUCUCUAUUCAUUAUGGAUUCUUCAAUGAUUUGCAAUGGUUGUAGCGUUACUGAAGACUUGGUGACAAUCAUUACAUUAGUCAAGUUUCCCUACACCAUGGAUUGCCUGAUGGUGAAUAAGUGUUGACUGUGCACGAAAGGCUUUGCCACACUCACUACACUUGAAAGGUUUCUCUCCAGUAUGAAUUCUAGUAUGUUGUGCCAGGUGUGAGUAACACUUGAAAGCCUUGUCACAAACCUUACAUUUGUAUGGUUUCUCUCCAGUGUGAACUCUCUGAUGUUGUGCAAGGUAUGAAUCACGCCCAAAAGCCUUGUCGCAAACCCUACAUUUGUAUGGUUUCUCUCCAGUAUGAACUCUCCUAUGUAUUUCAAGGUGUGAUUUGAUAUUGAAAACUUUGUCACAUUCUUCACAUUUGUAAGGUUUCUCUCCAGUAUGAAGUCUAUGAUGACAUGCAAGUUGUGACUGUGUCCUAAAAACCUUGCCACAUUCAUUACACUUGUAAGGUUUCUCUCCAGUAUGAAGUCUAUGAUGAUAUGCAAGGCUUGAUUUGUGAUUAAAACUUUUGCCACAUUCAUUACACUUGUAACGUUUCUCUCCAGUAUGAAUGACCUUAUGCAUUACAAGAGAUGAAUUUUGAACGAAGGUCUUGCCACACUCAUUACACUUGUAAGGUUUCUCUCCAGUGUGAAUUACAGUAUGUUGUGCCAGGUGUGAAUCACGUCUGAAAGCCUUGUCACAAACCUUACAUUUGUAUGGUUUCUCACCAGUGUGAAUUCUCCUAUGUCUUUCAAGGUGUGAUUUGCGACUGAAAACUUUGUCACAUUCUUUACAUUUGUAAGGUUUCUCUCCAGUAUGAAGUCUAUGAUGACGUGCAAGGUUUGAUUGUUGAUUGAAAACCUUGCCACAUUCAUUACACUUGUAAGGUUUCUCUCCAGUAUGAAUUGUCUUGUGAACUAAGAGGGCUGAAUUUUCACCAAACGUUUUGCCACACUCAUUACACUUGUAAGGUUUCUCUCUAGUGUGAAUUACAAUAUGCUGUGCCAGGUGUGAAUCAUGUCUGAAAGCCUUGUCACAAACCUUACAUUUGUAUGGUUUCUCACCAGUGUGAAUUCUCCUAUGUCUUUCAAGGUAUGAUUUGCGACUGAAAACUUUGUCACAUUCUUUACAUUGGUAAGGUUUCUCUCCAGUAUGAACUCUAUGAUGACGUGCAAGGUUUGAUUGUUGAUUAAAAACCUUGCCACAUUCAUUACACUUGUAAGGUUUCUCUCCAGUAUGAAUUGUCUUGUGAACUAAGAGGGCUGACUUGUCACUGAACGUCUUGCCACACUCAUUACACUUGUAAGGUUUUUCUCCAGUAUGACGUCUAUAAUGACGUGCAAGGUAUGCUUUUUUAUUAAAAACCUUGCCACAUUUAUUACACAUGUAAGGUUUCUCACCAGUGUGACAUCUACGAUGGUGUGCAAGGUAUCGCUUCUGAUUAAAGUCUUUGCCACAUACAUCACAUUUAUAUUGUUUCUCUCCUAGAUGAAUUAUCUGAUGUUUUUUAAAGAGUGAGCUACAAUUAAAGGAUUUGCCACUCUCAUUAAAUUGGAAAGAUUUUUCUUUCCUGUGUACAUCCUGUUUCUGUGUGAGUAAUGAAGAAUGGAAGAAAUUAUUCCCAUAGUUAUUAGAAAUAUGGGUUUUGGGCCUACAAGAAAUUCUUUGGGAUGUUGAAACUGAGGAAGCAUUGUUGAUAGACUUCUCAAGUUGAUUACCAAUUUUCCCUUCGGGCUGAAAUAUGUGCAGUUCAGGCAGAUGUGAAUGAAAGCUUGAUCCAAGCUGAUAUUUAAUAGGCUUGUUUCCAGCAUGCCUUUGAUCAUAUUGGUCUGUACUACCCGUCAACUCUUUGAUUUCUGUCAUGGGUGCUUCAUGGCCAUUUGUUUCAUCUUCUUGCCACUGAAACACAAAGUCAUGAAUGUCUUUCUCAAUUUCCUGGAAGCAACAUUCUCCAAUGUGAUGACUUGCCAGUCUUUGCAAUGUCCCUGUGUGGAUCACUUCUGUAUUGCCUUUCCCUAUUGAUGAGAACUCCAUCAUGCAUUUGGAAGAGAUAUCUACAAAAUAUAAACGCCAAUAGUUUUCCAAUUCAGUACAGAUAAUAUAUAAUACUGAAACGUGUAAAUAUGACACCAAAAACAAUACUUAUUUUAAACAUCUCAAACAUGAGCUUCAAAGUUCAGGAACACAAAAGGAGGAAGAUCCUUUAAUAAAUGAAGGGCGAUUACAUGUACUUCAG
rnacentral:lncRNA from 1 species